GACGAACGCUGGCGGCGCGCUUAACACAUGCAAGUCGAGCGAGAACCAGGGCUUCGGCCCUGGGGACAGCGGCGAACGGGUGAGUAACACGUGGGUAAUCCACCCUCGGCACCGGAAUAGCCCGGGGAAACCCGGAUUAAUGCCGGAUGGCCCGGUCGGUCUUUUGGGACUGAUGGAAAAGGUAAGCUUUGGCCUCCGGCCGAGGACGAGCCCGCGGCGGAUUAGCUUGUUGGUGAGGUAACGGCUCACCAAGGCGACGAUCCGUAGCUGGUCUGAGAGGACGAUCAGCCACACUGGGGACUGAGACACGGCCCAGACUCCUACGGGAGGCAGCAGUGGGGAAUCUUGCACAAUGGGCGAAAGCCUGAUGCAGCGACGCCGCGUGAGGGAAGAAGGC
rnacentral:rRNA from 1 species